GUGGCCUAGUGGUUAAAGCGUCCGCCUCAGAUGCGGCAGGAAGUGGGUUCGAUCCCCGGCUGAGUCA